GAUUCAGUAGCUCAGCAGGUAGAGCACAUCCCUUUUAAGGAUGGGGUCCUGGGUUCGAACCCCAGCUGAAUCA
rnacentral:tRNA from 1 species